rnacentral:lncRNA from 10 species
AGGAAAGGUAUUUAGGGUAAGAGCCGAGUGACAAGACAAGCCCAGCCAUGGAAUGAUGAGGUAGAGGAGCACUGAAGCAGAGGACACAGCUAGGGUGGGAAGCAGCUGGCACAUGGGGAUAGCUGCAGUGUGGUGGGAGAGGAGAGCGGGGAAGCUGGGCCUUAUUAGGUUUAAUCCACAAGCCAGGCUGGAACAGCCAUCUCUGCAGUCAGCUUUAUGGAGUGCAGAAAAUCUAUGUCAGCAGCAAGUUACACAGCCGCAAUGAGAAGUUGCUAUUUGCUGCGUGCUCUCUGCACAGGCCUGGCCACCCGUGAACCAGCAACACCAUGGAAGGCAGCAUCCACAGGAAUCUGUACUGUGACGGGCAGAAAGGAGGCUGAUUUCCUACCUCUCGAACAGACUGGGAAAUAUCUUCUGAUUGUUGAAGAAGACACCAUCAACACAUUCACUAUCAGGAAAGUAUGGCACCUCUAGAUCAUUCUACCGGCACUGAUGACGUCUCCCCCAACAACAUUUCCACAGAAGAAUUCCUCAAGAUUCCUCAGAACUUCUGGCUCCUACUUCUCUAGCUUUGUUUGGGUAAUUUCUUUCAUACUGAGAAAGAUAAAUUCAAUAAAAUCAU